rnacentral:tRNA from 1 species
CGGUAAAAUGGCUGAAAUUUAGGCGAUAAAUUGUAAAUUUAUUUAUAGGGUUAUCCUUUUUAC